AUACUACUGAAGAGUCCCAAGCUAGUGGGACGAAACAGCUGUCCAGUAC
rfam:Trichobilharzia regenti genome assembly, scaffold: TRE_scaffold0002289